GUCCACGCCCUAAACGAUGUCUACUAGUUGUUGGGGAAUUCGUUCCUUAGUAACGCAGCUAACGCGUGAAGUAGACCGCCUGGGGAGUACGGCCGCAAGGCUAAAACUCAAAGGAAUUGACGGGGCCCGCACAAGCGGUGGAUGAUGUGGAUUAAUUCGAUGCAACGCGAAAAACCUUACCUAGCCUUGACAUGUCAAGAACCCCUGAGAGAUUGGGGGUGCCGCAAGGAACUUGAACACAGGUGCUGCAUGGCUGUCGU
rnacentral:rRNA from 1 species